rnacentral:lncRNA from 1 species
UGAAUGAACGAAGCCUUGAUGCCUCACCCAUGUAGCUUAAUUCACAUCCUGAAUAAAUGAAGCGAGUAGCAUGCUAACUUUUUCUUAAAAUAAAUAAAUAAAUAAAUAAAUAAAUAUCGUACAAGGAUAUAAAAUUACCAUCAAUGCCCCUAAUCCCUGAACACUUUUAUUACCAAUACCCCUAACCCUAAGCCCUCUUAUAAAAUUUAAAAUUUUAAAUAAAAAUUGUAAAACUGACACAUUGAAAGAGUAAGGAUAAACUUAUAAUUUUACAUAAUAUACAAGAUAAACCGCCAUCAGUAAUAUGAGAUACCCAUUCUUCGCUUGAUAAUAUUUUCGAUGUAAUCCUGCAUUAUCUGUAAUGCUAUAUUACCGAUCAGAUUACGAACUGGAUGAACCAAAUGCAGUAGUUCUGACUUCUGACAGGAUUUCUUGUAAUCUUGGCAGGACAAUCCGAACCAAACACACCAAAAAUUUUAAGUCCUCUUAUAUAUUAUACAUCUAACUUAUUCAAUGGGUGGGUUUGAUUCGGUACUCACAUUAUUUGACUAGCAAAAAAUUCUCAUCCAUUAGAUAUAUUCUUAUAUUAUAAUAAUUUUAUAUGUAUUUCUAUAAAAUUUUAAAAAUACACACUUAUCCCUCUAUUUUAAUAAUUACUAAAAAUUUUCAAGCUUUACAACAUUCAAAUUUAUUUAGAAAAACUGAUAAUUAUUA